GACAGAGGUCCCGAGCGUUAGGCGGAAUCACUGGGCUUAAAGCGUGUGUAGGCGGAUCGUUAAGUGCCUUGUGAAAUCCCAUGGCUUAACCAUGGAACUGCUUGGCAUACUGGCGGUCUUGAGCCACUUAGGGGCAACCGGAACAAAUGGUGGAGCGGUGAAAUGCGUAGAUAUCAUUUGGAACGCCAAUGGUGAAAAUAGGUUGCUGGGAGUGUGCUGACGCUGAGACACGAAAGCCAGGGGAGCGAACGGG
rnacentral:rRNA from 1 species